GGGUGUUUAGUUGUUUAUAUAACUAAAAGGUCAUUAAGUAAUUAUGGAGGGUAGUUUUUGAAAAUUCAAUUAGUAUAAAUAAGAGCCUUGGGCUCUCAUAUUUCUUGCACCAUUCUCUUGAUUCAAGAGUCUUUCUCUCCUUAUCCCCCGAGCAUUUCGGUCCCUCGUGAUUCGACUUCUCUUUCUGUAGUUUUAGUAUAGUAAGGUGAGCGCUGAAGCGCUGCACGAAUCUUUCUUAGAAAGAUUCAGCGACGAAGUUCUGCCCCUGCAGAGCCCGACUCCUAGCUAAAAUCCCCUUGAAAGUUUCGUCAAAGGAAAUUAUUUUAAAGUAAACGAAGCGCUGUCCGAGUACCGAGUCACCACCUUCUCAGGUGUUGAUAUGAAGUCACAAUACACUGAGAGAUUUAAAGAGAUGUAGAUCACUAGUGUAAAUAAUUGUAAGUUCUGUUUAUGCUUAUGUUUCUGUAUUAACGAUGACAUCCCAAACGUUUUAAAAUGAAAUAAAUACGUUUCAUCGAAAAUGUUUUAAUAACGUAUUUACCAUGUUUUUCUGGGAACAAAUUCCGCAACAUUUUUAUAAAAUGAAGUACUCUGAUUUUUAUAAAGCAUAAACAAAAUCGGUCUUUUCUGGCCGUGAAAAUGGGGA